rnacentral:rRNA from 1 species
AAUCUACUUACCCAUGGUAGUAACAAACAGUAAAACUAAUAAAGCUUGGCAGUUAUUUUAAAAGUAAAGAAACUUGUUUUUUAAUCGAAAACACCCGAUAAAUUUCACUUUUAUCUAAAGUUUACAUACCGCCGUUUAAAGCUAUUAAUCAAAUCAAAUCACACAAUUAAAUUUUUAAAAAAAUCAGGUCAAGGUAUAGCUAACAUAAAAGAAAAAAUUAGUUACACAUAAAACAAAUUUAAGAAAAUAGAAGUAAAAAUUUCAUGGAAAGAGAAUCUACAAAUAAUUUAAAGUUAAAAACAGUAAAUGAAAUAAAACACAAUAAUGU